rnacentral:misc_RNA from 1 species
GGAUCCUCUGAAGUAAUACAAUUUUGAAGGAUCCAACGCGGGUAAGACAACAUUUUUGGAGAGUCCACCAACAUAGAUCCUCAUUUCAGUAUAAAUAAUUUGUGCUAACACAAUGUAGUGGAUUCUGCAAUGUGUAUUAUUAUCUGUUGUUGCUUCGAUGACUUCUCUUUUGAGCCGAGGGUCUAGUGAAAACAACCUCUCUAC